GACAGAGGGUGCGAACGUUGUUCGGAAUUACUGGGCGUAAAGCGUGCGCAGGCGGCUUCUCAAGUCAGGGGUGAAAGCCCAGAGCUCAACUCUGGAAUUGCCUUUGAGACUGAGUGGCUUGAGUACGGGAGAGGUGAGUGGAAUUCCCAGUGUAGAGGUGAAAUUCGUAGAUAUUGGGAAGAACACCGGUGGCGAAGGCGGCUCACUGGCCCGUAACUGACGCUCAUGCACGACAGCGUGGGGAUCAAACAGG
rnacentral:rRNA from 1 species